AGUCGAGCGGAUGAAGGGAGCUUGCUCCUGGAUUCAGCGGCGGACGGGUGAGUAAUGCCUAGGAAUCUGCCUGGUAGUGGGGGACAACGUUUCGAAAGGAACGCUAAUACCGCAUACGUCCUACGGGAGAAAGCAGGGGACCUUCGGGCCUUGCGCUAUCAGAUGAGCCUAGGUCGGAUUAGCUAGUUGGUGAGGUAAUGGCUCACCAAGGCGACGAUCCGUAACUGGUCUGAGAGGAUGAUCAGUCACACUGGAACUGAGACACGGUCCAGACUCCUACGGGAGGCAGCAGUGGGGAAUAUUGGACAAUGGGCGAAAGCCUGAUCCAGCCAUGCCGCGUGUGUGAAGAAGGUCUUCGGAUUGUAAAGCACUUUAAGUUGGGAGGAAGGGCAGUAAAUUAAUACUUUGCUGUUUUGACGUUACCGACAGAAUAAGCACCGGCUAACUCUGUGCCAGCAGCCGCGGUAAUACAGAGGGUGCAAGCGUUAAUCGGAAUUACUGGGCGUAAAGCGCGCGUAGGUGGUUUGUUAAGUUGGAUGUGAAAUCCCCGGGCUCAACCUGGGAACUGCAUUCAAAACUGACAAGCUAGAGUAUGGUAGAGGGUGGUGGAAUUUCCUGUGUAGCGGUGAAAUGCGUAGAUAUAGGAAGGAGCACCAGUGGCGAAGGCGACCACCUGGACUGAUACUGACACUGAGGUGCGAAAGCGUGGGGAGCAAACAGGAUUGGAUACCCUGGUAGUCCACGCCGUAAACGAUGUCAACUAGCCGUUGGGAGCCUUGAGCUCUUAGUGGCGCAGCUAACGCAUUAAGUUGACCGCCUGGGGAGUACGGCCGCAAGGUUAAA
rnacentral:rRNA from 1 species